rnacentral:misc_RNA from 1 species
CCUGUUCGAGCGUCAUUUAAACUCUCAAGCCCCGCUUGGUUUUGGGUGCGGCCCCCGGGCCUCCCGCAACUCGUUGGGCGGGACCGUCCGGCUUCAAGCGUAGCAGAAUCUUCCCUCGCUUCGGAGCCCGGCGGCCCUCACCAGGGAACACCAUCUCAAAGUUUGGCCUCGGAUCAGGUAGGGAUACCCGCUGAACUUAA